UGGCGGACGGGUGAGUAACGCGUGGGGAACCUGCCCUGUACAGGGGGAUAACACUUAGAAAUAGGUGCUAAUACCGCAUAAGCGCACAGCUUCGCAUGAAGCGGUGUGAAAAACUCUGGUGGUAUACGAUGGUUCCGCGUCUGAUUAGCUAGUUGGUGGGGUAAUGGCCUACCAAGGCAACGAUCAGUAGCCGGCCUGAGAGGGUGAACGGCCACAUUGGGACUGAGACACGGCCCAAACUCCUACGGGAGGCAGCAG
rnacentral:rRNA from 1 species